GCCACCGUAGCUCAGUUGGUAGAGCAAGUGAUUCGUAAUCACUAGGUCACCCGUUCGAAUCGGGUCGGUGGCU
rnacentral:tRNA from 1 species